rnacentral:rRNA from 1 species
CCUACGGGCGGCUGCAGUGAGGAAUAUUGGGCAAUGGGCGCGAGCCUGACCCAGCCACGUAGCGUGAAGGAUGACUGCCCUACGGGUUGUAAACUUCUUUUAUAAAGGCAUAACGUGAGACGCUUGUGCCUUUUUGUGUGUCUUUUAUGAAUAAGGAUCGACUAACUCCGUGCCAGCAGCCGCAGUAAUACUGAGGAUCCGAGCGUUAUCCGGAUUUAUUGGGUUUAACGGGAGCGUAGAUGGGUUGUUAAGUCAGUUGUGAAAGUUUGCGGCUCAACCGUAAAAUUGCAAUUGAUACUGGCAGCCUUGAGUACAGUUGAGGUAGGCGAAAUUCGUGGUGUAGCGGUGAAAUGCUUAGAUAUCACGAAGAACUCCGAUUGCGAAGGCAGCCUACUAAACUGCAACUGACAUUGAUGCUCGAAAGUGUGGGUAUCAAACAGGAUUAGAUACCCCUGUAGUC